GUUUAAACAACAUUUUUUUUUCUCAACUGCAGAUGCAUUCUGGGUAGUCCACUCACUGAGUAAGAUGACGACACACAGUAAGAUGGCCACCAGGGCUCCCGUGCUCAGCCCCGCCCUCGCCGUCAGCGCCUCGGCGUUGCACAGCUUCAUGUUCCCGUCCCGGUCGCAGGUGCAGACCUGGACGGUCAGUGUGUUGGUGCUGCUCUGCAUGGGGAACUCUCCGUCGGAGAUGACCACAGGUCAGCUCUGAGACCUGGAUCUGGAUCUGGAUCUGGAGGUGGUACCUUUGUUAUCACGGACAGAGAAGUUGGCCUUCCCAGCAGCCUCCUGUGCCAGGCUGAAGAAGAACCGAUGUCCUCCCAGCGGCUCGUCGGGGUCUGUGGCGCUGAUGGUUUGGAUCCUCUGGGAAGAGAACCGCAGCACUGAUGAGCAACCACUAGAACUCCAGGUUGUCGGUUUGACUCUUCACUCACUGAACUCCGUGGCGGUGACGCUGAUGUUGUGCCAGGAGUUCUCCUCUCGGUCCAGGUCUUUGAGGAUGAACAAGGAGCCGUUUCCUGCGUGGAUGUUAAAGACGCGGUCCAUGUCGGUACGACGGUCGAUGGAGUAUCUGCACACACACACAGAGUUUUGGGUGUUAGUGUGGUUGAAGACGAGCUGGGAAAGUUUCAGGUACGUUUUUUUGGC